rnacentral:rRNA from 1 species
AUGCCAAUUUCUGCUCCGGAAUUAUCGCGACGUUUGCUGUGGGCAGCUCUCGUCGCUCCGCUCGCCGCUGUGCUCUACCAAUUCCCGAUCCACGCCCUGUACACAAAGGCCGUCCCCGCCACCGCCGCCAUGGACGCCGGCGCCGAGCUGGAGCUGGAGUACGAUAUGCCGGGCGUCCUGCGCGUGCACAAGAGCGGCCGCGUCGAGCGCUUCGACGGCGUCGAGACCGUCCCGCCCUCCCCCUCCGGGGACCCUGCCAACGGCGUCGCUUCCAAGGACGUGGUCCUUGACCCCGCGGCCAACAUCUCCGCCCGCCUCUACCUCCCCUCCGCCGUCGCCGCCGCGGAGCCCGGCAAGAAGUUCCCCGUCGUCAUCUUCUUCCACGGCGGCGCGUUCUUCGUCCACACCGCCGCCUCCCCGCUCUACCAUAGGUACUGCGCCUCCCUCGCCGCCGCGGUCCCCGCCGUCGUCGUCUCGGUCGACUACCGUCUCGCCCCGGAGCACCCACUCCCGGCCGCCUACGACGACGCCUUCGCGGCCCUCAAGGCGGUCGUCAGCGCGUGCCGCCCCAACGGCGCCGAGCCCUGGCUCGCCGCGCACGGCGACGCCUCCCGCGUCGUCCUCGCGGGCGACAGCGCCGGCGCCAACAUGGCGCACGCCACGGCGAUACGGCUGGGGAAGGAGCGCAUCGACGGCUACGGCGACAAGGUCAGCGGCGUGGCGCUCCUGAACCCCUACUUCUGGGGGAAAGAGCCGGUGGGCGGGGAGCCGACCGACGCCGGGUACCGCGGCGGCUUCGAGCGCGCGUGGGAGGUCAUCUGCAGCGGCAAGUUCGGGCCCGACCACCCGUACAUCAACCCGGCGGCAUCCCCGGAGGAGUGGAGGCAGCUCGGGAGCGGCCGCGUGCUGGUCACCACGGCGGAGCACUGCUGGUUCGUGGAGCGGGCGCGCGCGUACGCGGAGGGGAUCAAGGCGUGCGGGUGGGACGGCGAGCUCCAGUUCCACGAGGCCAAGGGCGAGGCGCAUGUCUACUUCUUGCCCAAGUACGACUCCGACACUGCCGUCAAGGAGCUCGCCAUGGUGGCGGAUUUCGUCAGGCGCUGUUAG